CUGUAAAAUGUCGAUGUAGGAUUACAUGAUAACACAUGCAAAGCCUCUGGUAGAACACUCAGGGCAGCACUGCUCAUGCUUCUUAGUUGCCUUCCCCUGAUCUGGAGUGUCAAUUAAUCUUGGUUUGAGUUCCUCUUGCCCACCAGUGCACUUUGGUCCCCCAUUCAGUCAUGUAGCAAGGGGCUAUUCCUCCAGCUGUUCUUGAGUAAGCAUGGCACCUCACAUUCAUAUAGAAUGGUUACUAAUAGUCAUCCAAGUUAUUGAGAAAAAUAUUGACCACAAUGUACCACUCUCCCACUCCACUUUUUCCUAAUUAAUCUUUCCUUUGGGACUCAGCUAAGUUGUUCAUUCUGCUGGGAGUGCUCCACCCACCCAGAGCUGCCCCGAGUGCCUGCCUUGUGUUCUCUGCAUCCCCUCACCACCUUCCUUUGUGACAAGCAGCUGAGGUGUCUGUAACCCGAAUCAAUACUGGAUCAGCUCCUUGAAGAUAGAGAUUGGGUCACACAAUUAUCCUUAUAUCUUAGAGCACAGCACCUGCCUGGUACAUAGCUGGCAUUCAGAAAAUAUUAGCUACGCAAAAAUGUGUUUAAGUAUUAUAACCUUGAGUUGAUGAAACUCUGAGGCAAGAAAUAGUAUUUAUAGAGGAUUUCAUGAAAAAUGUACAAUUUAUCGAUCUCAUCAGUUCUCAGAUUUGGCUAUAUAUUAAAAUCCCCUGGAAACAUAGAAAAAAUCAGAAUCUCUGGUUGGUGGAGUCCUGUGUUGGUAUUUUGCAAAAGUUCCCAGGACUUCCUAAUGUGCAGCUAGGGUUGGAAACCACUGCUCCAGAAAAUCCACAUUUUACCACUGAAGAACUGCCUGCAUAUCCUGUACCAUUUAGGCCCUGCACUAAAGUGCCUUUAUUGAAUUAUACUUGGGCUUUGUGUCCAAUUUGACUGAACCUGGGAUAUAACUGUGCGACUCUUGUCACCGGAGAUAUGGGGAGAUGUUGUUGUCAAUGGAUCCUCUUUAUGAAGACACACCAGAGAGAUGCCUAUUGGGCAUCAGCACCAAAAAAAGGCCAUGAUCCUCCUGAGCAACCAGUUCAUGUUUGUCUUACGGAUUCCAGGAAUCAUUUAAUUAACACUAUUUUCCAGGUUUGUAGUAGCUGCUGCAAAGCUCAAGAUCAAAGCCAUGGUGCAUCUUUAUCACCUACAAAGAAUUUUGUGGUGUGUGUGUUACAUAUUGACUUGGUUCUGCAUUAUUUUUUGUCUUUUUCUCUUCACCCUCUGAUAUGGUUUAGGUCUGUGUCCCUACCCAAAUCUCAUGUCAAAUUAUAAUUCUCAAUGUUGGAGGAGGGGCCUGGUGGGAGGUGAUUGGAUCAUGGGGGCAGACAUCCCCCUUGCUGUUCUCUCAAUAAUGAGUUUUUAUGAGAUCUGGUCGUUUGAAAGUGUGUAGCACCUCCUCCUUUGCUCUCUUUUUCCUGCUGGCCAUGUGAAGAUGUGCCUGCUUCCCCUUCGCCUUCCGCCAUGAUUGUAAGUUUUCUGAGGCCUCUCCAGAAGCAGAAGCCUGUAUAGCCCACAGAACUAUGAGUCAAUUAAACCUCUUUUCUUUAUAAAUUACCCAGUCUCAAGUAUGUCUUUAUAUCAGUGUGAGAAUGUAUGAAUACACCCUCCUUUCCUUAACUUUUUCUAUAAUAAAGCUUUUUAAUUGAGAUAAUUCACAUAUCAUAAUAUUCGCCCUUUUAAAGUGUACAAUCCAGUGGUUUUUAGUGUAUUUACAAGAUUGUGUGACCAUCACUACUAAUUCCAGACCAUUUCCAUCACCCCAAAAAUAAACUCCACACCCAUUAGCAGUCACUUCUCACUCUCUCUUCCCCUCGACUUACUUUCUGUCUUUAUGGAUUUGCCUGUUCUAGAUAUUUCAUAUCUAGAUAUUUCAUAUAAAUGGAAUCAUACAAUAUGUGGCUUUCUGUGUCUGGUUUCCUGUACUUAGCAUAAUGUUUUCAAGGUUCAUCCAUGGUAUCAGUAGUUUAUUCCUUUUUUAUGGCUGAAUAGUAUUCUAUUGUAUGGACAUACCACAUUUUGUUUAUACAUUCAUCAGCUGUUGGACAUUUGGGUUUCUACUUUUUGGCUAUUAUGAAUUAUGCUGCUGAGAAUAUUCAUGCACAAGUUUUUAUGUGAAUAUGUUUUAGUUCUCUUGGGUACAUAUUAGAAGGGUGGUUUGCUGUGUCAGAUAGUAACUCUGUGUUUAACUUUUUGAGACCCUUUCCUCAUUUAAAGAAAUGUUUUUGUCUUAUAGUAUAGUAUGUAUCUCUGUAAGCCACUACAGAUUCCUCUUUUUGGAAUGAGGUGGCAUAUAAAUAAAUAAAUAAAAAGUCACAAAGC
rnacentral:lncRNA from 1 species